rnacentral:rRNA from 1 species
UUUUAGUGGCGGACGGGUGAGUAACGCGUGGGUAACCUGCCUCACACUGGGGGAUAACACUUAGAAAUAGGUGCUAAUACCGCAUAAGCGCACGGGACUGCAUGGUCUUGUGUGAAAAACUCCGGUGGUGUGAGAUGGACCCGCGUCUGAUUAGCUAGUUGGCGGGGUAACGGCCCACCAAGGCGACGAUCAGUAGCCGGCCUGAGAGGGUGGACGGCCACAUUGGGACUGAGACACGGCCCAAACUCCUACGGAAGGCAGCAG